rnacentral:lncRNA from 1 species
AUGCGGCAUGCAGUGUUUCCGGCAUGUUCCGUCGGGGAGGGGCUCAGUCACAUGCCUGUGCAGAGGGCUGGACAGCGUGUCCCGCUGGGUGCCCGGGAGAAAGAGGAAACAGGUUUGGUGACCCUCUGGCCAACAUCUGCCACAAUCCUAACAGCACCCUGUUUGCUUCUGAGAAAAGGAGUAGGAGGCACAACCCGCGUUCUGGAAGGAAAAGAUGAUAUUGUCCCCGCAGCAGAAGGCACCGCGGGAAAGCGUGACCUGCAAAGGCAGGCUGAGGAGGCUCUCUGGGUCAGAGUCUGGCUUCUGGAGGGUUCUGCUAGGUCGGUAAGCUCUUCUCUACACCCGACUCUCGGGGGCCGCGGGACUCAAAUUUCUGAAGUCAUUCUACAGGGACAGCGCCUCUUCCCAACUCUGCGUGCCUUCCGGAAGUGGCUGCUGUUCUCGCCUUUCCACCCUCCGCAUCCCUGUGGGUGUGUGCCCUUAAAUCCCUCUGCUGUAGCCUGGGGGCGAGCUCAGGUACCAAGGGUCGGUGUCGGUCUUCAGGAGCCCACGUCGCUCUUCCGCAUUCAGCGUUACCUUCCGGCGCUGUUAGGGAGUCCCCGCGACGAUGGUCGUCAUGGCGACACAGCACCUUUCUUUGCGCAGGCGUGUUCCGUCCAAUGGUGGCAGCAGUGCCCGAAAAGAGGCUCUGGUUUGCGACUGAGAAGGGUCACUGCAAGGACUGUAGUUCCCAGGACUCUAAUUCCAGCUAUAAUCGAUCCCAAGGUCUGGGUGCGUUCAAAGACCGACACGGUCAGGCCGCGGCGCUUCCCAAGGGAUUCCGGCCUGGCCCCACAGGUGACCGUUUCAAGAGCCGCUGGGCCCGGGCUGUGUGAGACGACUCCUGUGGGCUCCCACGGUCCCCUGCUCCUGUCACGUCACCUGUUGUCAUAUAUUGCAAUUGCCUGCUCGAGUCUUUCUCUGGCCUGCGAACUACCCGUGGGCUGCAAGGGAGUCCUACUGACUGGUCACUGGGAACCCAUUCUCUGGGAAGCCACUCUCCCUCCUGGGGAAGCAGAGAGCGUCCCAGGGAUUUCUGUCCUGUUCUGUUCUCAGCGCUAUCCUGUAAUCGGCCUGGUCGUCCCCAGGAGGCCUCCAGUCAGAGAAUCAGACCAAUAAUGAGGCCCAGCUGGCUCCGGCAUGCUCCCAUGGCUGCAGCCCUUAUCAGGGCCUUGCCUCCCAGUCUUGGCUCGGGGCUGGUGCUUUCACAGAGGCCGUUUCCACAAAGGCCCUUAUAUGUGCUCUUCCUGGGUGCCCUCCUCUGUCCCUUUCUCUAGCCUCGGGUGCUGGGCCAGACUGACGCGUUACUCAGAUGGAAAGUGCAUCCUGUCUUCUACGGUUGUGACUUUCAUGCAGCUGUCUCUCUCAAAAUAAAUAAACAGUAAAAAAAGAAAGUAUACUUAUU